rnacentral:misc_RNA from 1 species
AUGGAAGAAAGAUCCAGUAGACUGAAAAUAAUGUGAAUAUUAGAUAUUGUAUGAACCCAGAAAACAAUAACACAUACAAAUGCAAAUGCACGUAAUAGAUGUGAAUAUUUGUAAAAAAAAAUAACUCAAUAUGCUCUUACUAGCUCGUUUUGAAUCUGAUUUUAGUAAUCAAAGGAAAGAAGAAUGGCCUGACCUCUGUAUCGGGAUCUGAGGAAGA